rnacentral:rRNA from 1 species
CCUACGGGGUGCAGCAGUGAGGAAUAUUGGUCAAUGGCCGGAAGGCUGAACCAGCCAUGCCGCGUGAAGGUCAGUGCCCUAUGGGCGUUAAACUUCUUUUGUGCGGGAGCAAUAAUGGUCACGUGUGGCCAGACGAGAGUACCGUACGAAUAAGCAUCGGCUAACUCCGUGCCAGCAGCCGCGGUAAUACGGGGGAAGCAAGCGUUAUCCGGAUUUAUUGGGUUUAAAGGGUGCGUAGGCUGUGAGGUAAGUCAGCGGUGAAAUGCCCCCGCUCAACGGGGUGAAGUGCCAUUGAUACUGCCUUGCUGGAAUGCGGAUGCCGUGGGAGGAAUGUGUGGUGUAGCGGUGAAAGGCAUAGAUAUCACACAGAACACCGAGUGCGAAGGCAUCUCACGAAUCCGCGAUUGACGCUGAUGCACGAAAGCGUGGGUAUCAAACAGGAUUAGAUACCCCUGUAGUC